AAAGACCCCCUGGGUAAUCUAAAAAUGAAGUUUUCUGUUUAAAAGUUGUUUUUAAUGUUCUUCAUAGCCCUAUGUGCAACCAGAAAAUGGGUUGCCUUUUCAUUUUAAACAUAAGGAAUCAAUGCAAUACCUUAUAUUUGAUAACCUGUGCUAUUGCAUUUGGUCCUCACUACAACUCUGUCCAUAGAUAUUAUUCUUGCCACUUUAUAGAUGGAAAAAUGGAAGCAAAGCCAUCAAGUGCCUUUCCCAGGGUCUUAGAAGAAGUCACCAAGAAGGCUGGUCUGUCUCAAGUCUCGUGACUCCAGUUUAAUAUUCCCCACAAUAAUGUUGGAAAACCACAUUGGAAAGGGAAGACUCCUUCCUAGUACUGCUGUCGCACCACCAAGCUAAAAAGGUCAGGCAAAUAUGUUACUUUAUGGUGAAAUUGGCCACAUCUACUCAGUGUGCCCUAUAUCACAGGCCCUGUGCUUUGCCCUGGGAGGAUUCAGAGAAAGCAAAAGACAGAAGCAAUGGAAACAGGAUCCAGAAGCCUGAAGUGAGACAUCUGGCCAACUGGCCUGUGCUGACACCGUUAAGCCAAACAGACCUCUCAGACAGCCUCUCAGGCCCUGCCCCUGGUUGUGGCCCAGCCCCCAGGGCACGCUGGGCAGGGCCUCCUCUUAGAAAUCCCUCCCAUUGCUUGGCUGUUCCUCCAGAGGAUUCUGAGCUCAGCUGGAUGUGCCUGGCUGUGAUGAGGCAGCCAUGGUCUUGGUCCUCUGGGAAGUCCUGCUUUCCCAUAGGAACUGGAGUCUGGGAAAAAGGAAAACUGUCCUAGAACUAGAAGAAGAGUGCGAGAUCACUCCUGGAUGGUGCUGCCACCUCAUUUGGACAGGCCACUUCCUAAAUGUGCUGUGUGUGCAAAUUCUGUCUCAUUGCCUCAUCUAGUGUUCCUCUAAAUGGAAGCAAAUAGCUUGGCACCAGACUCUCUCCUGGCUUUGAUGAAGCAAGCUUCCAUGUUGGAGAGGCCCACGUGACAAGGAACUGAGGUGGCCUCCAGCCAACUCCAGCCCAUAGCCAGCCAGGAAUUGAGGAUCUCAGUCCAACAGACCUUGAGGAACUGCAUCUUGCCAACAACUACAUAAGUGAGCACGGAACUGGGUCCUGCCCAGUCGAGCCUUCAGAUGAGACCCCAGCCCCAGCUGACACCUAAAUUGCAGCCUUGUGAGAGACCCUGGAGCAGAGAACCCAGAGACCCGUGAGAGUCCACGAUCACUCUCUGACUCAGGUAUCUCUGAAAAAUUGCUCGGAGGUAUCAUCAGUGACAGAGAGUCACGGAUCCUGCAGGGCAGGCCCCACUGAUGUUGGAUGAGCCGCUUUCGAAGGUGAUCAUCUAGUUUCCCUCGAAGCUCCUCACUGAGAGGAAACUCUCCAGGAAGGAUGGAUAUUGAAACAUGGGCUUGGGAGCCCUGGUGAUAAGGAGAGUUGGGAGCUGAAGGACAAAAGUCUUCCUGAGAUCUGUGGACCACAGAGGGUAAACCCCACAAACUUUCCUGUUGCUUCUGCAAUACGUUCCAUUCCAGGUGUUGAAUUUCAGAUGAGCUCCUCAUGUGGUAAUUGAUCCAGGCCUGAAGGCAGGAACUGGGGAGGUCUGGCAAACCAAGGCAUUUUCAUCAGACAGCAGAGCACAAACAAGGUGUGAGGUGACCAGAUGGAGUAAAGCAGAGUGUGCACUGGAACAUCACAGGCAGUGAACUUGGAAGAGGAGGGAGGAGCCAGGUUAAGCAGAAAGCAGUGAUCAGACAGGUUGAAUGAUUCAGUGGAAGUUGAAUCUGAUCUCAUUUUAGCCACGUGUAAGAGGCAACCUGCUGGAAUGUAAUGCUGGAAUUAUCUGAUUGCUGCAGGCCUCUCUUUCUUCUCUGCCCUGGUGAAUGACUGCUAAAGGAAUUUAAAGCCUGUAAAAUACAGUACAUGUCUAUUUGUUGAUUUGGCCAUUGAACUGGACAUCUUGCCUUCUUGCAGGUAAAAUUAGAGAGAGGUAUCACAGAUUCUAGAUUUUAUUUAUAAGGGCAAAGCAUUUAAGUGUAUUCACUUAAGUUGCUUCUUGAUGCAGUGUCUUAUUUCCCUUUAAACUAGACUUCCAGCUGUGAACCCAGAUAUAAAAGCAAAACAAAACAAAACAACAACCCAAUCAAAGAAAUCUCUGUUUAGCUGCAAAGACUGUCGACCUGAAGAAUAGAGUUGACAUGAUGUGAUUGGUCAGUUCACUGAUCUGAAGGAAAGGAAUCCUUUAUUUGUGGCUGGCUAAGGAAGGCCAGUUACAAUGCAUAAAAGCUGAGAAAUGGUAGGAGAAAGUGGAGAAGCAAACAUGAGAAGAGAGAAAAACUGGACAUAAGAAAAGUGUUGGGAACAGAAGAAACAGGAGCCUUUAGAGUUGGUGGUGCCAAUGUUGAAGAAGAUUAUGGUGACCACUGUCACAUUGCUGGUCCCCAAUGGUCCACAUCUCCCAGUAUUUGCCCUUGUGUGGUCGUCUCUCUUUGAACCUGAGCUGAGACUGUGACUUAUUUUAACUAACUGGAGGUAGCAGAGUGCUGCUGUAUCAGUUCUUGAUCUAAGCCUUAAGUUCUGCUUUUGUGUUCUCAGGAACCCUGUCUACCUUAUAAGAAUUUUGUUACCCUGCCAGAGCGACGUGGAGAAGCCAUAGGAGAAGCCACAUAAGAGGGGGAGGCUCUGAGAGAAAAGCCCAGCUGUCCCAGUGUCCCAGUGAAGCCCAGGCCCCUGCUGACCUACCAACUGGAUGAGUCCACAUGAGUGACCAUUGGCAUGAUCAACAGAAGAGUCACCCAGCUAAGCCCAGACUGCAGAAUUGUGAGCAAAUAAAAUGUUUGUUGUUUUAAACCACUAAGUUCUGGAGUGAUUUGUUAUACAGCAAAAGAUAGCUGCUGGUAUGACAAUCGAGGAGAAAAGUAGGGAUCAAGACCCAGUGACUCUGCUCUCUGGGGCAGCAUUGUGUAGAGUGAAGACGCAGGCCUGGGACCAAAGCAAGCUUGGUUCAAAUCCUUACUUUGUCCCUUUUUAGCUCUGUGGCCUUGGGCAAGUUAUUUAAUCUCUCUGGGGCUCAGUCUUAUCUGUAAAACGAGAAAAAUAUUUCUUCCCUCACAGGAUAGUUAAGAAAUGAAAUGAGAAAGUUUGGGGCACAUAGUAAGUAAGUACCCACCAAACAUUAGUUCUCUUCCACUUCCUCCCUGUGGUUCCCUCGCCCCCUGAGGGGGUGAAAGUGAUCCAAACUACAUUGACUCUGAAGGGUGGUCUGGGACCUGCUAAAGGCAGUUCUAUCACAGGUGAGUUUUG